CGGGACGGGGUGGAGUAAGUAGCCUAGGAAUCUGCCUGGUAGUGGGGGACAACGUUUCGAAAGGAACGCUAAUACCGCAUACGUCCUACGGGAGAAAGCAGGGGACCUUCGGGCCUUGCGCUAUCAGAUGAGCCUAGGUCGGAUUAGCUAGUUGGUGAGGUAAUGGCUCACCAAGGCGACGAUCCGUAACUGGUCUGAGAGGAUGAUCAGUCACACUGGAACUGAGACACGGUCCAGACUCCUACGGGAGGCAGCAGGU
rnacentral:rRNA from 1 species